GACGAACGCUGGCGGCGUGCUUAACACAUGCAAGUCGAACGGAAAGGCACUGCUUUUGUGGGGUGCUCGAGUGGCGAACGGGUGAGUAACACGUGAGUAACCUGCCCUUGACUUUGGGAUAACUUCAGGAAACUGGGGCUACUACCGGAUAGGAGCUCCUGCUGCAUGGUGGGGGUUGGAAAGUUUCGGCGGUUGGGGAUGGACUGGCGGCUUAUCCGCUUGUUGGUGGGGUAGAGGAUUACCAAGGCGAUGAUCGGUAGCUGGCCUGAGAGGGGGAUCGGCCACACUGGAACUGAGACACGGUCCAGACUCCUAAGGGAGGCAGCAGUGGGGAAUAUUGGACAAUGGGCGCAAGGCUGAUCCAGCCAUACCGCGUGGGUGAAGAAGGCCUUCGGGUUGUAAAGCCGUUUUGUUGGGAAAGAAAAGCAGCAGGUUAAUACCCCGCUGUUCUGACGGUACCCAAAGAAUAAGCACCGGCUAACUUCGUG
rnacentral:rRNA from 1 species